UUGAUGUGGUGUGCCACAUACCACUCUAGAAAAACAAUUGUUUUUAAAUCCCCCAGGGAGCUAAGAAGUGUCUUGGAUUGUUGCAAUGAGGUGACUAGUGAGUACUGCUAUCAUCUGUCUCCACCAUUUCUAAAUUUAUUUUCUGGUCAGUAAGUUGUAAACUAGAUUCUCAAAAGAGCUGUAAGAAUAUAGUAAAAUAUGAAUGCUGUUUUCAUCAGCAUGGGUUUUGUUUAUUAUACUUUUUGUUUAUUUCAAUUAUUUCAAUAAUAAACAGAAUAUGAGCUAAAUGAAAAUAAAUAGGUCCUUUAAGAAGGGGCUAAAACAAUGUUUCUAGGGUAGUUUUUUGUCUCUUAUCAAACCAUAAAAAUUGACUCCAUUGCACUUGGAAUAAACUUCAACUGUUUCCUCAGCUUCUAUAUGCUCCAGAUUCACUUAGCUUUCAGCAUCAAAGUUUAUAGAAUAUGACAAAAUGAUUAUGCUCCACUUGAAAUUGCUUCAUGAGAAAAUAACAUCUUCAGAAAAUGGAGCAAAUCUACAGAGGCAAUGUCCAUAGAAGAGAGCAAAAUGAACAACACUGCGAUUGUUUAGCAUGAAAACGAUAUUUAAAAAGCCAAGGAUAAAAGUUGGAAGGAAGAGCAUUAAACAGAAUUUAGUUUUAGGGGGAAGAAAGCACAGGCCAGUGAAUGGUAAGAAUAUGAUAGUCUGUCUCUCUGGGGGAUCGUGUUUGGGAUAAUAGCAAAAAAAAAACAAAAAACAAACAAAAAACAUUCUUGCAUCUGCAUUGCCUUCAAAAGUUUCUAAGGAACAAGCUCAAGCAGGCUUAUGGAAUAAUUUUCUGAAGAAGUUGUCUCUGAAUCUAUUUUGAGUGUGCCUAAAAAGUGGUCUUAAUGCAAUUGACCAAGAAGGCAUCAAAAUCAACUAUUUUGUAGGAUGUGCAUAAUAUUUUGAAAAGACAAGCAGCUCUUGUGGAUCAGAAUUUGGUUUUUAAAAAGCCUGUUUUGAUCUCCCAGAGAGAGGUAACACAUCUGAGGUUAUCACAGCACUGGCUCAGAAGCUCAAUUAGUAAAGCUUUACUCUAAAAAUCAACUUAGAAGAAAUGAACUUUUAUCCAUGGCACAUUUCAAACAAAUAGUAUUGACCCUCUUUAAUUUCCCUUAGAUGUUUCAUUUUUCCCUUGAAUGCUUUUUUUAAAAUUUCAACUAAAUUUCAAAUCCAAACAACUUCAAAAUGACAAAGUUUAUAUUCAAACCAAAGCUUGUUUCAAACCACUUAUACAAUGAAUUUUAACUUUGAUUUAGAAUUUGAAAACUAUAUUUAGAGAAAAUGUAUUAAAAUAAAUAUAGAAAAGUACUUAGACAUAUAUAAUACUUAGAUUUUAUAACUGUCAUAUUUUUAAAUAGAAAGUCAACAAGAUAUAUUGGGUUUAUGAUCUGAAUAGGAUACCAAAGACUGGAAAAUAAAAAGUAAAUAUUGGCCAAUAACAUACACUGAUUUUUGCUUUGUUUUACAUUAUUACCUAAAUUAGAAUCUUAAUAUCCGUCUUACAAUGAAUUAGCCACAGGAUUGUAUUAUUAAUUUCAUCUUCUGAGAAAGAACAUAAAUAAAACAUAAUUCAUUUUAAUCAUCUUUUACCUUCCCAUAUGCUUUAAAAAUUAAAAAAGAGAACAAACUUCUAUUUUAACCUUCUUGGCUUAGUGUUUCAAUUCCAUGACAAAAUACAAAUAUAUGAAAGUGGGUUAAUUUAUUUAGAUAUUUUAAAUUACCAUUGGCUCUAACCUGUGCUUUCUUUGUUGACAUUAAUGCAACUUAUUCAAUCAAAAGCUACCUAAAUUUCAUAUCUUCACUACAUUUAUCUAUUAUACUUUUUUCCAGGUCGCUAACCUCUCCCCAAAUUUUUGUUCACUAAAUUACCUUGAUUGAAGUGAUGGUUAAAUUUCUCUAUGGUAUUUCCUAAGGUUAUGCAACUGAUUUUCACAUCAUCUAUGCAACUCACAUAAUCAUCUAUUAGACGACUUAUCAGGAAUCUGUUCUAACAAAUACACACAAACACACAUAUGAACACACACACAUUGACCUACACACGCACAUACACAAUGUGCCACAGGCUUUGAAAUAUUAUACAUAGGUCUUUAGAGACAGAAGUAGUUAGUAUUAAAAAAAAUGAGGAAGAAAUUUCCCACUAAAAAUAUAGUUAAAACAUAAACAAGCAAAAAACAGUGUUCCAACACACAGUUCAAACACAGCAAAAACUAGUACAAACACAAAAUUCCCAUAGUUAUAAGAAAUUGACACUAAAAAAGAAAGCAUAUUUUAAAUAACUUUAUCAGGAAUUCUUAUAUCUUAGUCUGUUUUUUGCUGUUGUAACAAAAUGUCUCGGAGUAGAUAAUCUAUAAAAAGCCGAAAUUUAUCUCUCACAGUUCUGGAGGCUGAGAGUCCAAGAUCAAAGUGCCAGCAGUUUCAAUGUUUGUGAGGUCUACACUUUCUGCUUCCAAGAUGGCACUUUACUGCUGCAUCCUUCCAAGAAAAGGAAUGCUGUGUCCUCAUCGUGGUGGAAAGGAUGGAAGAGCAAGAGGGGACAAACCUUGUGUCCCCUCACAUAGCAGAGCAGAAGAGAGCAAACCCACUCCUUCUAGUCCUUUUAUAAGGGCCCUAACGCCACCCACGAGGGCUCUGCUCACAUGACUUAAUCACCUCCCCAAAAUCCCACCUUUUAACACUAACUGGUGAUUUUGCAGGGGACAUCAUCAGCCAAACCAUAACACCACAUAAAAGCAUGUUUAAGAUUUGUUUCUGAUGACUGAGACAGUUUGCAUCUCAAUAUUAAAAUUGUUCUACCUGAUUUAACUUAGAGACCUUGGGUCUUUAGCUACUAAAAGAUUGAAUAAUCACCAAUCUUUCCUGAAGGAGCUUAUUUUUGAAGCAGCCAAUAAUGUCAAACUUUUCUCACUCUCUACUUGUCUCAAUUUUUCCCAAUGUUUUACAAUAUUAAUUAUAAUCAUAAUCCCCUCCCAAAAAAAAAGUAGGCUAAAAGUAAAGUGUUGGAUGAAUAAAAGUAGCACAUACAUUAUUUUAGAAGGUUUCUACAAAUUGUACCCUACUCUAGGUAAUUAGAAGUGGGAGCAGGUUUCAGGGGGAAGAACCCCAGCAGUAGGCUAAAUUCCAUGGUAUGAGGUGAUGCCUAUGAUUACAGAAAUCUUGGGAGUGAAGUUAGAAAAGGAUGUCAUAAACAAGAUGCAAAUACUACUAAUCACAAGGGGAAAUGGUAAAUUGAACGGCAUUAAAAAUAAUAACUUCUUAUCAAGAGGCAUCACUAAAAGAUUGAAAGGACACACUACAGAUGAGGAGAACAUAUUUUCAAUACACAUGUGUAAUAGAAGGCUCAUAAUGAACUGUCAGAAAUCAGUAAGUAAACGUCAAGCAAGGUAAUAACACUGGAAAAUAUCAUAUAAACAUACAUUUCAUAAAAGAUGAUACCCACAUUUCUGAUACCAUAAGAAAAGUGUGAUAUGGUUUGGCUGUGUCCUCACCCAAAUCUGUUUUGAACCGUAGUUCCCAUAAUCCCCCUUGUUGUGGAAGGGACUGGGUCGGAGGUGGUUGAAUCAUGGGGGCGGUUACCUCCACGCUGUUCUCAUGAUAGUAAGUUCUCACGGGAUCUGAUGGUUUUAUAAGGGUCUUCCCCUGACCCCCACUUCGUACUGCAUUUUUUCUUGUUGCCGUCACGUGAAGAAGAACGUGUCUGCUUCCCCUUCUGCCAUGAUUGUAAGCUUCCUGAGGCAUCCCCUGCAAUGCUAAUCUGUGAGUCAAUUAAACCUCUUUCCUUAAUAAAUUACCCAGUCUCGGGUAUGUCUUUAUUAGCAGCAUGAGAAUGGACUAAUAAAAGUUGUUAAAAUUCUUUAGUCAUUUUCUAAAGCUCAAAAUAUUCAUUUCUUAUGAUUCUGUAAAUUGACUCCUAGAUAUAUAGGCAAAUGAAAAUAAAUCUACCAAAAGCAACAUAUAAUUCAAAUGUCCAUCAUGGGAAAAAUUAAUUGAUAUAUACAAUGAAAUUUCAUACUGUAAUAAGAAUACAGAAUAUAUAAGUAUGCCUACAUGCAGCAUUUCCUUAUAACAAUAGUCUUAAGUUAAAAAAAAAAAAAAGCCAGAGUAUACAUUGUAACAUUCCAUUUAGAUAAGUUCAAAAAUAGUCAAAAUUAUCUAUGACACUUAAAGUCAGGUAUUUGCUAUUCAGGGGUUGAUGACUAGAAAGGGGCAGAGAGAAAGGUUUAAAAGGCUUUACCAAUGAUAUCAUUUUUUAUUCCCUUGCUAUGUUUAUGAGUGUCUUUACUCAAUGAAAAUUCUUUAAGUUUCACACCUAUGAUAUGUGCAAAUUUUAAGGAUAUGUUAUACUAUAAGGUUUUUUUUUUUAUUUUUAGGGAAUGAGGUUAAGAAAAGAUACAAUCGUAGUCAAAAAGAAGUGCUGAUGAUUAAGAAUGCAAAUGGCCGGGUACGGUGGCUCAAGCCUGUAAUCCCAGCACUUUGGGAGGCCGAGGCAGGCGGAACACGAGGUCAGGAGAUCCAGACCAUCCUGGCUAACACGGUGAAACCCCGUCUCUACUAAAAAUACAAAAAUUAGCCAGGCGUGGUGGCGGGCGCCUGUAGUCCCAGCUACUCGGGAGGCUGAGGCAGGAGAAUGGCGUGAACCCGGGAGGCGGAGCUUGCAGUGAGCCGAGAUCCCGCCACUGCACUCCAGCCUGGGCGACAGAGCGAGACUCCGUCUCAAAAAAAAACAAAAACCAAAAAACAAAAAAAACCCAAACAAACAAAAAAAAAAACAGGAAUGCAAGUAAUUUGUUGAUGGAUUUUAUGUUAAUUGAGUUUUUAAAAAGUUUAAAACACAAAUAAAAUAAAAACAAGUUUAAAAAUUGUUUCAGUGGUGUUAAUACUAUUAGCAGUAUCUACGAAAUUAUUAUCAAUAGAUGUGGUAAAUAAUUUCAUAUGACAAUACAGUUGUCGCAGAUAUCAUAAAAUAUUUUUUAGUCAUUCUUACUUCCAAAUUAUGGUAGUUGACCCAGUGCUAAAUCAUGUAAUUUAAGAUAUUAAAAAUGACACAUAUAAAUAAUAUUCUACCAUAAAUUUUCUCAUCUCUUGAUAAUUCUAUUUAGACAUAAUGAAUGUUCUUUAGAAUACUACACAUUUCAUGUUUUAUAGUAUCUCAGACUUCAAAUGGCCAUUAAAAGGUUAAUAAUUUCUAAGCUUGUUUAAUUAACAGAUGAUCUCUUUCAUUUCUACUUCUCUGUCUGUUCUACUUCUUUUAAGUAGGCAGACAAUAAACCAGGCUUUUUAAAAGAGAAAUAUAAUCCUAUAGUCACAUGAAUGUGAUGACCAAAAAAAGGAAGCCCCAGAUUUUUUUUUUAAUUUUUCCACCCAGAUAUGAUUCAGUUCUUCCACAAUAAGGCGCAUGGGUUAUAGAAUAUGCCACGAAUGGGAUUAUCUGGCCUCAUGUGUAACCCUAAAGGGAGUCUCAAGGGUCCACUCUGUGUGGAUAACAAUUCCAAUGCCUCGGACAGCUGCCCUUCUUGCAAUUCUGUUUGUCUGUGUCUUCUCACUACAGCCCGCAUCAUACCAUCACCAUCACCACACAAAUGGCUUCUAUUCCUCAAGACAGAGGCUGCUUCUCACCAUUCUUCAAGAGGUUCUUACAUUUAGUUAGUGUGUGCAAAUUUCUCUUUGGCUCAGCUACUCCUAAAACCUCUUUAGAAGAGAGACUGUAAUCACUGUAUAGCCUACUAAUUAAUCUUACAUUUGGCAGGUUCACCUUAAAGCAAAACAAAACAAAAUAAAAACCUCAAGUUAGCUGGUUUUGCUGAUGAGGCCAGAUUUUAUCUAUGAUUUAUUGCUUAUUUAAAAACAAAUCAUACUGAUUUGUCACUAUGGUUUCUACCUCUCUUUGCCAAAUCAUAAGUGGAAAUAUUCCAAUACACUAGCUAAAUCUUUUCCUUUCUCAUAUUUUAAGAUGGUAUGUUCUUGGAGAAUUAUAAAAUCUAUCCAUCAAAUAAGUGUAUUAUGGAAGAGUAUAAGUAUUGGAAAAUAUAUCCAAAGCUCCACUCUGGAAUCACCAAUAAGUCAUUUAUUCAAAAAGUAAUGUUUAGUCAACCAUUGAAAUAGCUUAAGGAGCUUGUGAUAUGGCAGUGAAUUACACUACAUAUAAAUCAGACUCAAGUCUUCAAACUUUCAUCACUUCUGAUCCUUAUGUGAAAUAGGAACAGUUGUUAUAUUUACCCUCACUUCCUCCCACUGUUCCAGCUUCAUGGGUGUGCAGCCUGUUCAGUCAGUCACAGAGGGGCCUGCACUUAGGGUCCCACUUGAGUUUAAUGCUAUGUUGCCAUCUUCAAAUCCUUCAUGGUUUUUGAACAAGGGUCCUGAAUUCUGUACUGUUUCCUAAAAACUGUUGCAGCCAGUCCUGCUCCCUCCUUAUAAUGGAUUUAUAAUUAAAGGUAAAUUGAGUGAGGAGUGUGAAUAUUUGUAGAUCAGGUGCUAUGUUUGUGUUUAAAAUGGUAUGUUUUUAAAAAAAUUCCACAUUGCCUCAUGUUUCAAAGCAAAUUUCUGAGUCUUUUUUAACUCUCUUUGCUGCUUUUAUCUCUUUUGAGGGACUCAGAAUUUGUCUGUCUUUAUUGUGUUUCCAUUUAUACCUUUUAUCAUAAACAACACAUUUUCACUUUUUUAUAUAAUUCCUGGCUCUAUGUUGAUAUUCACUAGAGAAGGAAGACAUUACCACAGAAAGAAGUAUAUAUUUGCAAGUGCAACAAGUGUUAAAGAGAGGUUGUUUGUUUUUCAGCAAGUAGACUCCUGGAUUAAAUAGUACUAAUCAAAGAUCAGCAACUUUUCCAACUUCUCCCAGGCCUACCUCAUCAAGUUUUAUAACUCUUCUAGCAUUGCAAGUCAAAAUAUAAGGCAGUGUUCUGAAAACACUCUCACAGGCACUCCCAGAAACAAUGUUUUACCAGCCAUUUAGGCAUCCUGACAUUUAAUUGAGUGACACCUAAUAUUAACCACCACAUCAUGUGAUCCAAAAAUCUCACUUAUUUCUCUUUAACCAAAAGAGUUGAAAAUGUGUGUCCACACAAAAACCUGUGCAUAGAUGCUUAUAACAGUUUUCUUUAUAAUGGCCAAAACCUUAAAGCAACCAAGAUAUCCUUCAGUAGAUGAAUGGAUAAGUUAUGUUACAUGCAGACAAUGGACUAUUAUUCAGCAUUCAAGAGAAGUGACUUAACAAGCUACAAAAAGACACGGAGGAUAUUUAAAUGCACAUUGCUAAUUGAAAGAAGCCAAUGUGAAAAGAUUACACACUGUGUAAAAUCAACUAUAUGACCUUCUGGAAAAGGUAAAAUUAUGAAAACAGGAAAAGGAUCAGUGGUUGCCAAGGCUUGGGGUUAGGGAUAGAGAUGUGCAGGUGGAACACAGAGGAUUUUAAGGGCAAUGAGACUACUCUCUAUGAUACUAUAAUGGAGGGUACAUGUUUUUAUACAUUUGUCCAAAUCCAUAGAAUAUACACCACCAAGAAUGAACCCUAAGGUAAACUGUGGACUUUGGGUGAUUAUGAUGUGUCAAUGUAGGUUCAUCAAAUGCAGGAACUGUACCACUCUGGUGAAGGACACUGAUAGUGGAGAGGCUGUGCAUUUGUGAAGGUGGAGGAUAUACAGCUAAUCUCUGUACCUUCCUCUGUACUUCAGUUUUGCCAUGAAUCUAAACUUCUGUAAAAAAAAAAAAAAAAAAAAAAGUCUUUAAAACCAAACCAAACAGAAAGAAAACCUUCUGAGAAGAUUCUAAAGAGAAGCCAGGGUGAAGAAUGACACAUUCUAUUUACAGGUUUAGAUAGAUCACCCUUUCUUCCCCACUCCCUCUCCUUACCAUCCUCUAUCCUUUCUUACCUCUCUCUUUCCCAGUUCAUCUAGAAGUAGAUGUCUUAUUUUUAUGUAUUAAUGGUACCUAUAAUGUGAUUUUCAUCUUUUAAAAAAUAUUAAAUUUAUACCUGUGAAUAUCUUGUCGGGGGAUGUGUGUAUGAAGGGACUGGCAUUGUGAAAGUGCCUUUUAUGGGACAUUGGGAGGUAGAAAAAUAGAUUAAUUUAGGAAAAUUCUCCAUAAGAUCAUAUAGGCUUACAGUUAGAGUCGUAGAAAUGCAGAAGCCUAAUAAAAGAUAGUUACAGGUAUGUGGGGUUAUCCUUCCCACUUCUAAUCCAUCUGCUUUUAAAUUCUAGAAGUGGUGUUAUUCAUUCUCUGCCACCUUUACUAAAUAGCUUACCUGACCUAGUUUGUGGUAAAGAGUAAGAGAGUUUUCAGUGCAGUUAGAAGGUGGCCCCUGGUGACUACUUGCAGCGUAUAGAGAGAGAUCAUCACCCAGAGAGAUGAUAAAUUGGCUGAAUAAGUGUCCAUGAUCUGUAAAGGACAUUGCAAUUCAGUUUGAAAGACAUUGUGUAACCUCUGUAGCCCUUUUCAAUUUCUUAUGCUGUAAUUCUACCACAAAGCAGGCAGCAACUAACCCACCACUUAAGUGUCCACAGCUAUCCCAGCUAUCCACCAUGAUGACCAUCUAUCGAAAAGUCCAUGCUAUCUUUAUUUGAAAAUAGCAAAAGGAGAAACAUAUAUAGAAUCUAGUCCUGAGUUCAGACAGUUGUAUGAUCUUGAGUUUCCUUGUUCUUUGCCUCUCUUUGAAUAAGGAUUUCUGUAUGGAAAGCAUGCAAUAUUCAAGUGGGUGGAAUUUUGCCUAUAACUCUGCCCAUUUGACUUCCAACCUACAGAUUAGUAGAAAGAGGUGAUACAAAAUGUAUUUCCUGACAGGUAAUUAGGUAUUACCAAAUAGGAACUGGAGUUUAAAAAAAUUAGAAUAGCAUGAGCAACCUUUUGGCAGAGAAGUAUUUGCAAUGAAUCUGAGCACAUCAGAGUAAAGAUGCCGAUUUUAGGAGCAUACUAGUGAAGGUAACUGUGAGCCCUCACAUCCAAGGUCAUCCCCUUAUGCAUCUAAGCCAUCAGUACUAUAUUUUGAUAUUUUCUGUGUAUAUUCUUUUCUUAGGUUUCCUAUAACAAAGUUCAAUAAACUCAGUGGCUUAUAACAAUGGACAUUUAUUCUUUCAAAAUUCUGGAUCCUAAAAGUCCAAAAUCAAGAUGUCAAGAUUAUGCUCCUUCUGAAACCUCUUAGGAGGAAGGUCUUUGCCUCCCUCUUUAAUCUUCUGGUAACUUCAGGUGUUAACUGCAAAUUGUGUUUUCACAUGGCUGUCUUCCCUCUGUGUCUGUGUCUUUUCUUCUUUUCUUAUAAGGACAGCAGUCGUAUUGGAUUAGAGCCUGUCUAAUUCAGUAUGACCUCAUCUAAUCCUGAGUACAUCUACAAAGACCCUAUUUCUAAAUGGGAUCACAUUUACAUGUAUCAGAGAUUAGAGCUUCAGCUUAUCUUUUUGCAAGACAUAACCCAUAACACUGUAUAUUGUUCUGUCUACUUAGUACUUAUGAAAAAUAAGACCUUGUUUCAGAAUGGGCAAUAAUAAAAUAAAUUGGUAAUAAAAUAUCCCUUAAAUUCUCAAGUCCCUUCUUUUGGCCCAUUGUCUUAAAUACCACAGUACAGGAGUUAAACCUGCUAUGAAUUUCAAGAUGUUGUGGGAGGUUGAAGUAAAAACUGUAUUUAAAAAUCAUAAAGCAGCUUUAGAGUUGGACAUUAGCACAUUUUCCUGGCAUGUAAAAACUGAGUAAAAUAUUCAACAGAAAACAGUAGCUCUCAUAAGAAGUUAUCUUUGUCAGAAUAACCAUGAAGUAAUAGCAUUUGCACCAAUCUGGAUGGAAUUGAAGACUAUUAUUCUAAGUGAAGUAAUUUGGGAAUGGAAAAUCAAAUAUCCACUCAUAAAUUAGAGCUAAGUUAUGAGGACAAAAAGUCAUAAGAAUGAUACAGUGGACUUUGGGGACUCUGGGGAAAGUGUGGGAGGGGGUGAGGGAUAAAAGACUACACAUUGGGUACAGUGUACACUGCUCAGGUGAUGGGUGCACCCAAAUCUCAGAAAUCACCACUAAAAAACUUGUUCAUGUAAGCAAAUACCACUGGUUCCCUCAAAAACCUAUUGAAAUUUUUUAAAAAAACUAUAGGUUUAUUUCAAGAAAGACUGUGGCUUCAAAUACAUUGGGAAUGGAUAAAAUUCCAUCUUCUUUUUCAGCCCAGGUCUCCAAACUCCCGUCAAAUCCAUUACUCAGCAAAUAUUAAUAUUUUAUGAAAAAAUUGGCUGUCCUUCUCGAGCUCCCAUGGAGUCCAGUAAGCCACACCAUCCCACAUGACAGUCAGAAGCUGUAAUAAUUGCUUUCUUUAGCGGAUUCCUUAAGACUAUAGCAAGACUGAUGCUGUAUGCCCAAGAGUAAAACAGUCAUAUCUGAUCUACAUUGACCUAGGACAAUUCCUUAUGUCUUUUUAAAAAGUCAGACUUUCGUAAUUAGUCUUUCUUUUCCUGCCUAUUGAAAAAAGUGUCUACUACCUUCAACAUAACAAUCAAAAGCAGAAAUUUACAUUUUAUUCUAUCCUCUAAAAACUACAAUUCACUUAUAUUAAAUAUGUGUUUCCAACAAUGUAAAGUAGAAACUUUGCAUCUAGUCACUUAUAUUAGGUAUUUAUCCUAAUGCUAUCCCUCCCCUAGUCCCCCACCCCCCGACAGGCCCCAGUGUUUGAUGCUCCCCUCCCUGUGUCCAUGUGUUCUCAUUGUUCAACCCCCACUUAUGAAUGAGAACAUGCAGUGUUUGGUUUUCUGUUCCUGUGUUAGUUUGAUGAGAACAAUGGUUUCCAGCUUCAUCCACGUCCCUGCAAAGGACACGAACUCAUCCUUUUUAUGGCUGCACAGUAUUCCAUGGUGUAUAUAUGCCAGAUUUUCUUUAUCCAAUCUAUCACUGAUGGACAUUUGAGUUGGUUCCAAGUCUUUGCUAUUGUGAAUAGUGCCACAAAAAACGUACAUGUGCAUGUGUCUUUGUAGUAGAAUGAUUUAUAAUCUUUUGGGUAUAUACCCAGUAAUGGGAUUACUGGGUCAAAUGGUAUUUCUAGUUCUAGAUCCUUGAGGAAUCGUCACACUGUCUUCCACAAUGGUUGAACUGAUUUACACUCCCACCAAUAGUGUAAAAGCAUUUCUGUUUCUCCACAUCCUCUCCAGCAUCUGCUGUUUCCUGACUUUUUAAUGAUCGCCAUUCUAACUGGCAUGAGAUGGUAUCUCGUUGUUUUGCUUUGCAUUUCUCUAAUGACCAGUGAUGAUGAGUUUUUGAUAGGUUUGUUGGCUGAAUAAGUGUCUUCUUUUGAGAAGUGUCUAUUCAUAUCCUUUUACCACUUUUUGAUGGUGGUGUUUAUUUUCUUGUAAAUUCGUUUAAGUUCUUUGUAGGUUAUGGAUAUUAGCCCUUUGUCAGAUGGAAAAAUUGCAAAUUUUUUCUCCCAUUCUGUAGGUUGCCUGUUCACUCUGAUGAUAGUUUCUUUUGCUGUGCAGAAACUCUUUAGUUUAAUUAGACCCCAUUUGUCAAUUUUGACUUUUGUUGUCGUUGCUUUUGAUGUUUUAGACAUGAAAUCCUUGCCCAUGCCUAUGUCCUGAAUGGUAUUGCCCAGGUUUUUUUCUAGGGUUUUUAUGGUUUUAGGUCUUACAUUUAAGUCUUUUUCAUUUUACAUAUUAGUGUUGAAGAUUGUCGUUUUAAGAAGUUUCAAAAUAAUGGAAAUUUCCUAUGUACAAUAUUAAGGGUUUUUAAUUUUUUAAUUUAUUAAUUUGGUUUAGAAAUUCAAGAGAAAAAGUAAAAUGAAUCAGCAUUCAUGCAAUAAAUGUGAUUGCUUUUUAAAAUUAAGUGAAAAUAGAAAGGUUUUAUAAAUGUGUGCUCAGUUUUCUCAAUAGCAAUUAAACUACAGUAAUACACGAAGUAAUUAAAGUUUCAGUCAUAGUUUUUGUUCCUUUACCUUUCUUCUACAGAAAGUAACAAACUAUUCACAUUGUUCAACAAUAACCUACAAAUGUGAAGAGCUUUUUUUAAAUAAAAUUAUUAGAAAAUCUAACCUCUGGAUUUGUCUCAAGUACUUAAUAAAUAUUUUCAAAAGUUAGUAUCAAUGAAGUUCUAUGUGUUUUAUUGCCAAUAUUUAUAUUUUUAUGCAAACAAUGACAGCAAUAAAGAAGGCUAAAAUAUAAUAAUGAAACACCACAUAAAAACCUUUAAGAGGUUUUACACAAUUGAUAUAGGAGAUCACAUUAUUACUUCCUAGGUAAAAUGUAAAUAAUUAAGUUCUACCAUAUUAAAUAAUUUAUUUCACUUCAAUAUUAUUUCUAAUGUUUUGUUGAAAAUAAAUUAUUUAAGAAUCUUAUGUUAAAGAAAGACUCUUCAGUUUAUUGAAGAAAAUUACAUGAAAAUCUUAAAGCUCAGUAGGAAAAUUGAAAAUGAAAACACUGUAUAACAUCUUCCUCUGUUGCUAUGCUUCGUAGGAGAUAACUUUUCCUGGUCGCUGCUUCUGCAGCAUGAUGUUAUUCAUGAAGCUCAAUAUGCAAAAUAAAAGGGUUAAAGGGAUUCUAUUGAAAAAAAUAAUAAUUCUAAAAUUUUCUAUAAGGAUUUAUUAGUUUGUAAGUACUUUAGUUUCCAAUAUUUCUAUUUUCAGAAACG
rnacentral:lncRNA from 10 species